AAAAGAUGGGACAUCCCCCCGGUUCCAACACCAAUGUUUGUAGCUAUUUAUCUAUCCAGGAACAGACCACAAUGUUUAUAAACAUAUAAAUACUCAUGUAAACACUGUGUCCUAACUGCAGGCAUUACUUGGGCCCUGACCUGACCUGUUUACUGAAGCAGUUUUGUUUGUAGGCUGUAAUUGAAUCACAUCAAUAGGAAGUUGCCAGGGAAUGUGGAGGACCAUGAUGCACCGAUUUGUUUCUGACAGUGGAGGAGUCUACAGUGUUGGAGAACCUGCAAUUUAGAAAAAAGUAAUUUUCUGCAGUUAUUAUUCAGAGACCCUUAGAGCAGGAGGGCUACAGCUGGUCGCACAAAUGAGUGAAAGGUUUGGGAUUUGCCAGUUUUACCAGACGCAGGAUUUACCAGCCACCCCUCAAGCAUUAAUUCUUCUGAGGUUGUAUUCCUGGUCCAGCUGGAGCACAGCUCUAUUCCUCUUGACAGUGGUGGUUCCUCUACAAAGCCUUAAGGCUUUCCUGUGGACUCGUUGUUUCUCAUGCACUGUCAGAAAACAGGAGAACACAUCCAGUAAUUGCUCUGCCUCAGCACAAAUGCCAAGCACUCUGAUGCCCCAUUUGUGUUCAGCUUCUAAAAGCUUUCUCCUUUAGUGAACACCAGCAAAUGUUUGGGCUGCAACAAAUUUCCUGGAGAUGGAAAGAAAUCGCUCAUCAUUUUCCCCUCCUCAGACUCAAACAUCCCUCCUGUUUACAGCAAUCCGGUUUCCAGUUGCAGUAGUUUAGCUGAGGUGUGUUUAAUGAAAAAGAUAAGGAUUAAGACAUUGAUGAAACUGAUAAUGCUUUUCCUUGCCCU
rnacentral:lncRNA from 1 species